rnacentral:tRNA from 1 species
GCGGGAGUAGUUCAGUGGCAGAACGGUAGCUUCCCAAGCUACUAACGACGGUUCGAUUCCGUUCUCCCGCU